CCUACGGGAGGCAGCAGUAGGGAAUCUUCCGCAAUGGACGAAAGUCUGACGGAGCAACGCCGCGUGAACGAUGAAGGCCUUCGGGUCGUAAAGUUCUGUUGUUAGGGAAGAACAAGUGCUAGUUGAAUAAGCUGGCACCUUGACGGUACCUAACCAGAAAGCCACGGCUAACUACGUGCCAGCAGCCGCGGUAAUACGUAGGUGGCAAGCGUUGUCCGGAAUUAUUGGGCGUAAAGCGCGCGCAGGCGGUUUCUUAAGUCUGAUGUGAAAGCCCCCGGCUCAACCGGGGAGGGUCAUUGGAAACUGGGAAACUUGAGUGCAGAAGAGGAAAGUGGAAUUCCAAGUGUAGCGGUGAAAUGCGUAGAGAUUUGGAGGAACACCAGUGGCGAAGGCGACUUCCUGGUCUGUAACUGACGCUGAGGCGCGAAAGCGUGGGGAGCAAACAGGAUUAGAUACCCUGGUAGUCCACGCUGUAAACGAUGAGUGCUAAGUGUUAGAGGGUUUCCGCCCUUUAGUGCUGAAGUUAACGCAUUAAGCACUCCGCCUGGGGAGUACGGUCGCAAGACUGAAACUUAAAUGAAAUUGACGG
rnacentral:rRNA from 1 species